rnacentral:rRNA from 1 species
GUGGGGAAUUUUGGACAAUGGGCGCAAGCCUGAUCCAGCAAUGCCGCGUGUGUGAAGAAGGCCUUCGGGUUGUAAAGCACUUUUGUCCGGAAAGAAAUCUCCUGGGUUAAUACCUCGGGGGGAUGACGGUACCGGAAGAAUAAGCACCGGCUAACUACGUGCCAGCAGCCGCGGUAAUACGUAGGGUGCGAGCGUUAAUCGGAAUUACUGGGCGUAAAGCGUGCGCAGGCGGCUAUGCAAGACAGAUGUGAAAUCCCCGGGCUCAACCUGGGAACUGCAUUUGUGAAUGCAUGGCUAGAGUGCGUCAGAGGGAGGUGGAAUUCCGCGUGUAGCAGUGAAAUGCGUAGAGAUGCGGAGGAACACCGAUGGCGAAGGCAGCCUCCUGGGAUGACACUGACGCUCAUGCACGAAAGCGUGGGGAGCAAACAGGAUUAGAAACCCUGGUAGUCC